GGCCACAUCUGCCAGAGCCUGGAGUCUGCGAAGGCCGGGACCCGGUUCCCCGGCCCGCCGUGGGGAGUGUGCAAACCCGAGAGAACUGGGUUGCAAAUUCGUGAAGAAUCAGCAGCAUGUUUGGCAGCUGAGUAUUGGAGCCAGGAGCCUGCCAUGAGCUGAUGCAGCCUCAGUGUUCCUUUGCCUUGGGGGUUUCUGAGUGGUGGGGUUGUAAGGAGAGCCUGCCAGGCAUCCAGAAGGAAACCUCAUCAGGACUCCCUCAGAAAGCAGGCCCUGAAGAAUCCUGUGACCUUCCUCUAAAGUAGGUCAUGAGACCCCCUGAGCUUAAAACGGAGUGAUCGGCUUUGGAGAAGUAAAGAAACAUGACGUGCCUGCCCUGGCGUGGGGCUAAACUUCGUGCCACUCCAUGUGAAACGGGGAGAAAUCCCUGGAAGGCACCCAGGCUGGACAUCAUCAUAUACUCUCUACAGAUGGAGACACCAAGGCCCACGCCUUCUGUGCUGUUGGAAUUUCAGGAAGGAUGGGGGCGGGGCACGGCCUCAGCCCUGGGCCUGUUCUGCAGAUUGCACUGCUCUUAUCUGCCAGGGGGUGGUGAGAGGGUGGUGAGGGGGUGGUGAGGGGGUGGCUGAGCUGGACAGAUGGAGGGCAGGGACGGGGCUCUGUGGUCUGGCAGCUGACAUUGAUACAAGCAAAUAAAGAGUCUUUGCUGGGG
rnacentral:lncRNA from 1 species